AAAACAAAGGUGCCUUUGCCAAUAUUUAUGUUUCGCGUUGACAAGCCCUGAGAUUUCUGAGGGGAAUCCACUAUAAAUGGGAUCAGGUCAUUUGUCUAUGUUGUGUGCAAAUAUAAUUUAAAGAAACAACCUC
ensembl:misc_RNA